rnacentral:rRNA from 1 species
ACGAACGCUGGCGGCGUGCUUAACACAUGCAAGUCGCACGGAAAGGCCCUGCUUGCAGGGUCCUCGAGUGGCGAACGGGUGAGUAACACGUGGGUGAUCUGCCCUGCACUUCGGGAUAAGCUUGGGAAACUGGGUCUAAUACCGGAUAGGAACCAUCUUUAGUGUGGUGGUUGGAAAGUUUUUUCGGUGUAGGGUGAGCUCGCGGCCUAUCAGCUUGUUGGUGGGGUAAUGGCCUACCAAGGCGGCGACGGGUAGCCGGCCUGAGAGGGUGUACGGCCACAUUGGGACUGAGAUACGGCCCAGACUCCUACGGGAGGCAGCAGUGGGGAAUAUUGCACAAUGGGCGCAAGCCUGAUGCAGCGACGCCGCGUGGGGGAUGAAGGACUUCGGGUUGUAAACGCCUUUCGCUAGGGACGAAGCUUUUUGUGACGGUACCUAGAGAAGAAGCACCGGCUAACUACGUG